AGGAUGAACGCUAGCGACAGGCCUAACACAUGCAAGUCGAGGGGCAGCACAUGAGUAGCAAUACGAUGGUGGCGACCGGCGCACGGGUGAGUAACACGUAUGCAACCUGCCUUCUACUAUGGGAUAACCCGUUGAAAGACGGACUAAUACCGUAUAAUACAGGGGCUCCGCAUGGAGAUAUUUGUUAAAGAUUUAUUGGUAGAAGAUGGGCAUGCGUAUGAUUAGAUAGUUGGUGAGGUAACGGCUCACCAAGUCAACGAUCAUUAGGGGUUCUGAGAGGAAGGUCCCCCACACUGGUACUGAGACACGGACCAGACUCCUACGGGAGGCAGCAGUGAGGAAUAUUGGUCAAUGGACGAGAGUCUGAACCAGCCAAGUCGCGUGAAGGAAGACGGUUCUAUGAAUUGUAAACUUCUUUUGUGCAGGAAUAAAGUGGGUUACGUGUAACCUUUUGUAUGUACUGUACGAAUAAGGAUCGGCUAACUCCGUG
rnacentral:rRNA from 1 species